UUGACUGUCAUGCACCCUGACAUUAUAUACCUAGUCAGCUUCUUACAUCCAAGGUUAUGCAUCCACACACACACAAUUUCCACCUGUUUUUCCAGACGGAGGAGGAACUAUGCGAUUUCCCUGCCAUGGCAGUGUGGAAUUUGCUCAACAUUAAAUUCGACCAUGAAGGCUUCAAAGAAAAUUGGACUGAUGCUUAUACCCGAUGGGAUGCUUGGCGUUCGAGGAGUGACAUAGACUUGUUUUGGACCUACUGGGAGGAUGAUUACUUCUGGAGAGCUUAUUGCUUCAGGCAUUAUGAGGAUGAAGCAGAGCUGGUUAGAAAUGGUAUUACGCACUUUAACGAAAAUGUAAUGAAAGACGUGCCCCCUCCUGAUGAUUUCUUCAACAAACGCCAAAUAGGAGAGGUCGUUCUUGAUCUCUUCCCAGAUGUCUCCUUCAGACUGUUCGAUUUUAUGUGGGACAAUGAUGUGAAUAUGGACUUCACCAUGUCCCGCACAUGUUACAGCGAAUGAAGUGCUUGACUAGUUAAGUUAUUUUGACCUCCCGCAAGUGAUGUCACUAAUUAUAGUCCAAGAUUGUCAAAGAGGUUUCUUCCGGAAUGGCUUGCUAUUAGUUUUUAGGGACCUGAGGUCAGAGCUACUGAGACUCCAGAAUCUGUAUGGACACAAUAAAGUGCAAUGUCUGCAAAUACUGAGUGCAAGGGAAAAAGCUGGUGUUGGUGACUGGGCAUGUCCUGAGGAGGCAUACGAGCAUCAGGAAAUGAGAUGAGCACAGGUUUGGAUUAGAUAUGCUGUUAAGAGUCUGCGAAUGUAAUGACCAAGCGUGUGGAAGAACUAUUAGAAAAGAUCAACAACAAUACCAUUAAGACUGAAAGUCCAAUCCGGAUAGAAGAAUACUUCACAGCUCUAAGGUGCGUUGAGCUAUUAUAUGGUGACCACGGGCUUGAUGUUAUGGGUGUGUUGAGGAAAAAGGCUCCACUAGCUUUGCCUGUUAUAUUAACGCGCUUGAAGCAAAAGCAAGAAGAGUGGGCAAGGUGUCGCUCUGACUUUAACAAAAUCUGGGGUGAUAUAUAUAUGCGAAAAACUAUCACAAGUCACUUGAUCAUCAUAGCUUCUACUUCAAGCAAUAGGACUCAAAGAGCUUAAGCACCAAAGCCUUGUUGGCGGAGAUUAAAGAGAUGAGUGAGAAGAAGUGGAAGGAAGAUGGUGUUCUUCUUGCUAUUGCUGCUGGAAAUAGACGACCUAUUAUUCCAAAUUUGGAAUUCGAGUACCCUGAUCCGGACAUCCAUGAAGAUCUGUAUCAAGUAUCAACUCAUCAAAUAGUUUUGUGGAGAAGUUUGCAGACCGAGCAAUUGGACAAAGUUAUGAAGAUAUGGACAACCUUCCUUGAGCCAGUGUUUGGUUUCCCUCCUCGGCCUCAGGUUGCAGAGGAUACUGAAGAUGUUGUGAAGGCAAAAACUCAUGCUGCCAAAAAUGGUGCUGUGAGCAGGGGAGAGUGAUGAUAGUCCUGAUGGUAGGGCUACUGUGACAGAGUCUAAACAGUUAAAUUCAUUGAGAAAUGGAGACGAAAGCAUAAAACCUGAACAGUCGGGCUCUGCAAGAGCUUGUACAGUAAAUGGAGCUAAUGGGCUCAAAGAAGAAAGUCAUUUCAUAUCAAGAACUGGAUGGAGGUGCUCCUUUGCUUCUUUCUGCGUACAAUGAGGAAUCAGUCCAAGGGUGGGCACAAAUCUAACAUGGAUGGGGCAGGGUUUGUUGAAUUUCACCUCUGGCAAAUCCAAAAGAGGACCAACAGUCAUUUCAUAUGAAAAACUGAGAUUUUAUGUUGCUCCAUUAAGCUGUUAAUCAAUGGACUCCCAGUGGACCAACACACCAAUGGCCAUGGAAUUCGCUUCCUGCUCAAUUCUGAGGCCUCAGUCUUUUUCAACCAUCUUUCACCGUACCAACUUCACCUCUUUGCUUUACCCAAGAACCAUCUCAACUUGCCCUCUCCAUUUUCGCCAACUUUCCCAAAAAACUUAACCUUUCCUGGAAAAUGUCGCCACUUUCAUCGCUUCAAUGCUUUCAGCUCACUUUCCGGCGCCAACUACCAGAACCCAUCUGCGCAACUCGCUGUUCUUCUUGAAGUUGAUGGUUUUAUGUUAAUUUUUCAGUAAGUGUGCUGGUACAAGGAAAAGAUGCUGAUUAUGUAUUUUAAUCAGAUUGGUUGGCCUUCGUCAUUGCCCACUACUGAGAAGGAAUCAUUUGUAAACAAUGUUCUGCAAAAAAAGGAACACCUGUGGUCAUACUGAGAUCCUAUAGUAAAAGUGGAGAUAAAAUUGCCAGGUCCAUUAUUGAUAAGCUUGGCCAUCGAAGAGUUGCGAAGCUAAAGAUUGUUGGGUUAAAGGAGGUGGACAUGAACUUCAUAUGGUCAAUUUUUGUGUCCAAACCUCAGGUUCGAUGGAGGCAGGUUGUUCCUAGUUGAAACCUCAGUUUCUUGCCUCAGCCUGUUACGCUCAGAACCACUUGCAAUGGUCUGUUCUGCUGUGAACAAGGAAUGGAAAGAUGAAUGAGCUUUAGAGACUUUUCAACUUUUGAAAUUUGCAGCACAUUUUGAACUUUGAAAUUUUUGCAGAAGCUUAACUUUACUAGUCAUUUUUUCAUUGGCAUUACUUUCGAGUGAUGAAUUAAUCUUUGCAUAAUCAACAUGGAUUUCGUCACAUUUAACUUUUC